rnacentral:misc_RNA from 1 species
GAUGAAGAACGUAGCGAAAUGCGAUAAGUAGUGUGAAUUGCAGAAUUCCGUGAAUCAUCGAAUCUUUGAACGCACAUUGCGCCUUCUGGUAUUCCGGAAGGCAUGCCUGUUCGAGAGUCAUUAACAACCGUUUCGAUCCCUUUCUUUCAGAAAUUACAAAGAGGAAAAGGGUUUGGUUAUGGUGGAGGAGGGAAAGGGAGCGUUUAGCCUGUAAAAAAAGAGGCUGUGUUCCGCCUCCCCCCCAAAAUUGUACAGGCGGUCGUGUGCGCCCACGCAUCGAGGUGUUGUAAAAGCUGCCACGGCACUUUUCACCUGUGCAGUGCGAGAUUAGCCAGCCGGUUUAAAAACCCCUCCAAACAAUCAAAGGUUGACCUCGGAUCAGGUAGGGAUACCCGCUGAACUUAAGCAUAUCAAUAAGCGGAGGA